rnacentral:hammerhead_ribozyme from 1 species
AUCUAGCUGAAGAGUUUCAAACAGGACGAAACACGUGUCCUGGAU